CCCACCGACACUCAGCUCACCUCACCAUGGACGAUGAUAUUGCUGCGCUUGUUGCAGACAAUGGCUCUGGCAUGUGCAAAGCCGGCUUUGUGGGUGAUGAUGCCCCCUGGGCGUUCUUCUCUUCCAUCAUAGGAUGCCCAAGGCACCAGGGUGUGAUGGUGGGCAUGUGUCAGAAGGAUUCCUACGUGGGCCACAAAGCCCAGAGCAAGAGAGGCAUCCUGACCCUGAAGUACCCCAUCGAGCACGGCAUUGUCACCAACUGGGAAGACAUGGAGAAGAUCUAGCACCAUACUUUCUACAACGAGCUGCGUGUGGCCCCCGAGGAGCACCCCAUGUUGCUGACUGAGGCCCCCCUGAACCCCAAGGCCAAUCGUGAAAAGAUGAUCCAGAUCAAGUUUGAGACCUUCAACACCCUAGCCAUGUAUGUGGCCAUCCAGGCUGUGCUGUCCCUGUAUGCCUCUGGCCAUACCACUGGCAUUGUCAUGGACUCUGGUGAUGGGAUCACGCACACAGUGCCCAUCUACGAUGGGUAUGCCCUCCCCCAUGCCAUCCUGCGUCUGGACCUGGAUGGCCGGGACCUGACAGACUACCUCAUGAAGAUCCUGACCGAGAGAGGCUACAGUUUUACCACCACAGUCAAGCGGGACAUGGUGGGUGACAUCAAGGAGAAGCUAUACUAUGUUGCCUGGAUUUCGAGCAGGAGAUGGCUACCACUGCCUCCUCCUCCUCCCUGGAGAAGAGCUAUGAGCUGCCUGAUGGGCAGGUGAUCACCAUUUGCAACAAGCGCUUCCAUUGCCCUGAGGCUCUCUUCCAGCCCUCCUUCCUGGGCAUGGAAUCCUGUGGCAUCCAUGAAACUACUUUCAACUCCAUCAUGAAGUGUGAUGUGGACAUCUGCAAGGAUCUGUACGCCAACAUCGCAGACAGGAUGAAGAAGGAAAUCACAGCCCUGGCACCCAGCACGACGAAGAUCAAGAUCAUUGUCCCCCUGAGCACAAGUACUCUGUGUGGAUCAGUGACUCCAUCCUGGCCUCCCUGUCCACUUUCCAGCAGAUGUGGAUUAGCAAGCAGGAGUAAAAUGAGUCCAGUCCCUCCAUCGUGCACCACAAGUGA